rnacentral:lncRNA from 1 species
AGUGGAUGUUAUCACCAUUUUACACAGGAGAAAACAGAGUCUCGGAGAAAACAAGGACCUUGUUCAAGACUACACAGUCAGAAAGCGGUGGAGGCGGGGCUCAAACUCAGUCCUGGAAAUCCCCAGUCAGCCGUCAGCCCUGGGCCGAUGCGUCAGACCGAGAGGAGAACGGAGGUCGGGCCCUGGGGAGCCAGCGCUGGGGAAACAUGAACGCUGUGUUUAAAGGCGAGAAGGCACCCGGGAAGCACAGUGGUCCCCGAUCCGCGGCUUCACUUUCUGCGCUUUCCGGUACCGUGGUCAACGGCAGUCUCAAAAUAUUGAACGGAAAAUUUCAGAAAUAAACAAUUCAUAAGUUUUAAAUUGUGCACCUUUCCAAGUAGCAUGAUGAAACCUCGUGCCGUGCCACUCCGUCUGUCCGGGACGUGGGUUGUCCCUUUAUCCAGUGGAUC